rnacentral:rRNA from 1 species
AUGUUGAUUAUGCGGGCAGAGGGUGGGGGCCUUGGUUUACUCAUCCAGACAGACUGCAGCAUCCAAUUGUGGAAGAUGAAGACUGAUUGUGAUGGUGUUGCUUCAUGGGGGCUUGGAAGAACCACUGAACUGGACAAGCUACUUUCUCUGAAAUCUCAGGAGACUAACAUGUUGAUACCAGGGCUCGAGGAGGAAAAUAAUGUGGUAUUCGUGUGGGCAGAUCACAUCGUCUUAACGGUCCAUCUUGAGUCAAUGAAGUUCAAGAAGCUUUCUGGAACCUACCCCCUUUCUCAUUAUCAUCCAUUCAGAAGUGUCUACGCUGCAGCUAUCUAG